GUGUCCCCUAGGGUUCCUCCAACCACUUCAGUGGGAUUUCUCUCUCUAGCUUGUUUGGGUUGAAGGUAUCAAUGCAUCUUUCUCUCUACUGAAGUGUUUGGGGGAACUCCAGGUGCCAC
rnacentral:pre_miRNA from 1 species